AUUGAACGCUGGCGGCAGGCCUAACACAUGCAAGUCGAACGGUAACAGGAAGAAGCUUGCUUCUUUGCUGACGAGUGGCGGACGGGUGAGUAAUGUUUGGGAAACUGCCUGAUGGAGGGGGAUAACUACUGGAAACGGUAGCUAAUACCGCAUAACGUCGCAAGCCCAAAGAGGGGGACCUUCGGGCCUCUUGCCAUCGGAUGUGCCCAGCUGGGAUUAGCUAGUAGGUGGGGUAACGGCUCACCUAGGCGACGAUCCCUAGCUGGUCUGAGAGGAUGACCAGCCACCCUGGAACUGAGACACGGUCCAGACUCCUACGGGAGGCAGCAGUGGGGAAUAUUGCACAAUGGGCGCAAGCCUGAUGCAGCCAUGCCGCGUGUAUGAAGAAGGCCUUCGGGUUGUAAAGUACUUUCAGCGGGGAGGAAGGGAGUAAAGUUAAUACCUUUGCUCAUUGACGUUACCCGCAGAAGAAGCACCGGCUAACUCCGUG
rnacentral:rRNA from 1 species